rnacentral:rRNA from 1 species
AGAGUUUGAUCCUGGCUCCGGACGACGCUGCGCGUGCUUAUACAUGCAGUAGACGCUGAGCUGUGCUGCACGAGCGGAUGAGUUGCGAACGGGUGAGUAACGCGUAGGUAACCUGCCUGGUAGCGGGGGAUAACUAUUGGAAACGAUAGCUAAUACCGCAUAAUAUUGACUAUUGCAUGAUAGUCAAUUAAAAGGUGCAAUUGCAUCACUACCAGAUGGACGUGCGUUGUAUUAGCUAGUUGGUGGGGUAACGGCUCACCAAGGCGACGAUACAUAGCCGACGUGAGAGGGUGAUCGGCCACACUGGGACUGAGACACGGCCCAGACUCCUACGGGAGGCAGCAGUAGGGAAUCUUCGGCAAUGGACGGAAGUCUGACCGAGCAACGCCGCGUGAGUGAAGAAGGUUUUCGGAUCGUAAAGCUCUGUUGUAAGAGAAGAACGAGUGUGAGAGUGGAAAGUUCACACUGUGACGGUAUCUUACCAGAAAGGGACGGCUAACUACGUGCCAGCAGCCGCGGUAAUACGUAGGUCCCGAGCGUUGUCCGGAUUUAUUGGGCGUAAAGCGAGCGCAGGCGGUUAGAUAAGUCUGAAGUUAAAGGCUGUGGCUUAACCAUAGUACGCUUUGGAAACUGUUUAACUUGAGUGCAAGAGGGGAGAGUGGAAUUCCAUGUGUAGCGGUGAAAUGCGUAGAGAUGUGGAGGAAUACCGAUGGCGAAGGCAGCCUCCUGGGAUAACACUGACGUUCAUGCUCGAAAGCGUGGGUAGCAAACAGGAUUAGAUACCCUGGUAGUCCACGCCCUAAACGAUGUCAAUUAGCUGUUGGGCAACUUGAUUGCUUAGUAGCGUAGCUAACGCGUGAAAUUGACCGCCUGGGGAGUACGGUCGCAAGAUUAAAACUCAAAGGAAUUGACGGGGACCCGCACAAGCGGUGGAUGAUGUGGAUUAAUUCGAUGCAACGCGAAGAACCUUACCUGGUCUGACAUGUACGGAAUCCUAUUUUCUAAAAG